GAUGAACGCUGGCGGCGUGCCUAAUACAUGCAAGUCGAGCGAACAGACGAGGAGCUUGCUCCUCUGACGUUAGCGGCGGACGGGUGAGUAACACGUGGAUAACCUACCUAUAAGACUGGGAUAACUUCGGGAAACCGGAGCUAAUACCGGAUAAUAUAUUGAACCGCAUGGUUCAAUAGUGAAAGACGGUUUUGCUGUCACUUAUAGAUGGAUCCGCGCCGCAUUAGCUAGUUGGUAAGGUAACGGCUUACCAAGGCAACGAUGCGUAGCCGACCUGAGAGGGGGAUCGGCGACACUGGAACUGAGACACGGUCCAGGCUCCUACGGGAGGCAGCAGUAGGGAAUCUUCCGCAAUGGGCGAAAGCCUGACGGAGCAACGCCGCGUGAGUGAUGAAGGUCUUCGGAUCGUAAAACUCUGUUAUUAGGGAAGAACAAAUGUGUAAGUAACUAUGCACGUCUUGACGGUACCUAAUCAGAAAGCCACGGCUAACUACGUG
rnacentral:rRNA from 1 species